UAAUUUGCUGUGAUAGCAGUUCUUUCAGUUUUUCAUCAAAGUUUUCUGGAUAUAGUAGAUAGUCUACUAGAAGGUGGUAGACUAUCUGUUAUAUCCAGACAACUUUGAUGAAAAGCUGGGAGGACAACUAUCACAGCAAAUUA
rnacentral:pre_miRNA from 1 species